GUGCCAGCAGCCGCGGUAAUUCCAGUCUCCAAUAGCGUAUAUUAAAGUUGUUGUGGUUAAGAAGCUUUAAGGUGAACCUUGGGCCUGGCUGGCCGGUCCGCCUCACCGCGUGCACUGGUCCGGCCGGGCCUUUCCCUCUGUGGAACCCCAUACCCUUCACUGGGCGUGGCGGGGAAACAGGACAUUUACUUUGAAAAAAUUAGAGUGCUCCAGGCAGGCCUAUGCUCGAAUACAUUAGCAUGGAAUAAUAAAAUAGGACGCGCGGUUCUAUUUUGUUGGUUUAUAGGACCGCCGUAAUGAUUAAUAGGGACAGUCGGGGGCAUCAGUAUUCAACUGUCAGAGGUGAAAUCCUUGGAUCAGUUGAAGACUAACUACUGCGAAAGCAUUUGCCAAGGAUGUUUUCAUUAAUCAGGAACGAAAGUUAGGGGAUCGAAGACGAUCAGAUACCGUCGUAGUCUUAACCAUAAACUAUGCCGACUAGGGAUCGGACGGUGUUACUCAUGACCCGUUCGGCACCUUACGAGAAUUCGAAGUGCUUGGGCUCCAGGGGGAGUAUGGGCGCAAGGCUGAAACUUAAAGAAAUUGACGGGAGGGGCAUCACCAGGGGUGGAGCCUGCGGCUUUAAUUGACCUCAACACGGGAAACUCACCAGGGCCCAACACAAUAAGGAUUGACAGAUUGAGAGCUCUUUCUUGAUUUUGGGGGUGGGGGGCAUGGCCGUUCUAGGUUGGUGGGGUGACUUGUCUUGCUUAAUUGCCGAUAACAGACCGAAACCUAACCUGCGCAAAAUAGACCGCAA
rnacentral:rRNA from 1 species